rnacentral:rRNA from 1 species
UGGGGAAUAUUGGAGAAUGGGCGCAAGCCUGAUCCAGCCAUGCCGCGUGAGUGAUGAAGGCCCUAGGGUUGUAAAGCUCUUUCACCGGUGAAGAUAAUGACGGUAACCGGAGAAGAAGCCCCGGCUAACUUCGUGCCAGCAGCCGCGGUAAUACGAAGGGGGCUAGCGUUGUUCGGAUUUACUGGGCGUAAAGCGCACGUAGGCGGACUUUUAAGUCAGAGGUGAAAUCCCGGGGCUCAACCCCGGAACUGCCUUUGAUACUGGAAGUCUUGAGUAUGGUAGAGGUGAGUGGAAUUCCGAGUGUAGAGGUGAAAUUCGUAGAUAUUCGGAGGAACACCAGUGGCGAAGGCGGCUCACUGGACCAUUACUGACGCUGAGGUGCGAAAGCGUGGGGAGCAAACAGG